rnacentral:tRNA from 1 species
GCGUUUGUGGUUUAGUGGUAAAAUCCAUCGUUGCCAAAAGCGUAACAGCUUCAAGCUCGAUGGGCCCCGGGUUCGAUUCCCGGCGAACGCA